UUUUUUUUUUUUUGUGUGAUCUGGACUUUUUCUGCACCAGCAAGCAGACUAUCCUGAGUCUUCCUGCAAGGGGGCCCAAUGCACUGCUCACAGCUCUGUGAACUGCAGGUGUGCAAAAGUGCCAGAAAACAACCAACCAAACAGCGGCCUUUCACUCAGGAGGACAAUAAAUCUAGUGUAAUUUGGCCUUUGCUGUAAACUCACAGAUAGAAAACCCUGGAAGAAGCUAACAAACAACAAAACCCAGAGACUUAGCAUGGAAUUGCUGAGAGCAGAGAGCCGCCAUGUGUGGCAAGAUCUCUGUUACAGCAGAUGAGGAAGGAAAUGAAAGGGCUUCAGGCUAAGGCAGGCAAUUUCCAGGCAGAUGCUGCCACAGACCAGCUGGAUUCGACCAGCUGAGCCACCAGCACUGGAGCUUUUAGCUGAAGGAAGAAGAUCAAAAAUUAAAAACGUGGUAUCUGGGGAAGCUGCAGUUAAAAAGGUGCCAGAGGUGGGGAUUCCUGCACCAUACAGAGAUCCUCCAGAGAAAUGGAGCUCCAUUUUUAUUGCUUUUUUAGAAUGGGCAUGCCUUGAAGAAGUUUAUGAAGGGUUAGAAAGUGAUUAACAGAUUUUUGGUUUCAUUCAUCGGUUAACCUGGUACAGAGUCACAAAGUUAAUAGGUUGUUUUUAACAUCUUGUCCCAGUAAGACUGCAACCAUGCCUGAAAUAUGUUUUCGGGAGGGGAGCAAGUAUAAGAGGAUAAAAAAAUUAUAAACUCAUGGAGAAGUGUCUGAGGCUGUUAAACACAAAGAUGCAAGUAUAACCUUGGGAAGUCCCUUACCCUCAAAUUGCUGUGAUAGAGUAGGAUUUUCUUGCUUCUUACACACUUUUCCUGGGCAUCCGCUUUUGGAUGCUGUUGGAAGAAGAGGCUAGAUGGCCUUUUGAUUGUGCAUGGAUCUUGUGCAUUUAAGAUGCUUACAAGUGAGAUUUCUACCCUACCUGGGACAUCUGUUUAUGCAACCUGAGACCCCAGACAUCAGAGACACUAACCAAGCUGAGUGAUUAAGAGGGAUGCUGUGCUGUACUCAUACAACCGUUGUACAGGACCAGAGAGCUUAGAAUAGGUGGCCUCUUCCAAUACUGAGUUUGUUGGCAGGGCUCACGGCCAGUACCGAACCCCACCACUGUGGCUGUCUGGCCAGCAGGACCCUAAAAUGCGAAAGUGAAAAGAUCUGUAUGAACAGCAAGCAUAGUAAUGAAAAUGAAAUAAACUCGCAAGCAGGAAGAUACAAGGGAAGACAAGCAAGACAGAGACCCCAUCCCAAAUUCAGAGGAGCUGCCUGUGUAAGUCGAUCUGCCUCCCACUUCCGCCUGGCAGGAUAUAUUGAUCCAGCUGUGUGAAAAACAGAUCACAGAACUGACCCAGCUUUAAAAUAAACUCACAAAAAAGAUAAACCAGAUACUUUAAGCCCAGAUAAGUUCCUUGAUCCAACUCAUUUGAAGCCCUCAUAAAGAGCUGCACAAACAUCAUGGGGGGGAAAGAGGCUAUGCUAGCAUUGACUCCAAAUCCAACAUAAAAAUACAUCAUAGCACAGCCUCAGAUUACAUAACUUCAGGACCACUUGCUUGCUUCAUGGUCCCACUGGCACUGGGCAAGGCACUUUGUGGCUGUAUCACUCACUUUUAUCAUGCAGAGAUCAUGUCUCCCACCCCUCCUUAGGACCCUGAGAGUCCACAGCUGAGCUGUGCAUUGUACUCUCAUUAAUACCUCAUCCUCAAGGGGCUGCUCAGAGGUUAAGAAGUUUGCAUUAUUGAGAGAGUUUAAUCAACAGUCAGGUCCUGCCAGCCUGGUACAGACUCUGCAUAUAUGUAUGCGAGCCUGCAGAAGGACACUUUUUUACGCAGUGGCUCAGCUUUACCAUCUCUGAUUCAGCUCUCACUCUGGUCUCUGCUAUGCUGAGAUUGCUGCUGCCUUUGCAGGAGCCUGGGGCAAGAGGGCUUGAGACCCAGUUCUGCUGCAUAAGCCAUGCCCAAAGCAUGCCCAACACUCCUUUGCCCCCAGCACCCAUGUUUCUGAAGCCCCAUGAAGAGGUGGGUAAAGAUCCUCUCUGGCAUAAGUCAUGGGAUGGGAACAAUUGCUUUCUCCAGCUGUCUGGAUUUCAGUCUAACCUGGUCAUGAAAUUCCAACCUCCGUCACACUGCAAGUGUCUCUGUUACGGCUCCCUACUCACAGCUCUGAGCUACAGAGUUUGGGGUGUCAAGCAGAUGUACAAUAUCAUAUGCAUGCUGAUCGCUUGACUUUUUUUGCCCAUGCACGUUUCUGUGAUAAACUUCCUUUCUCUGUAGCCCUUGCAUUUUCCAGUUGUUCCCUGGCUUGUUCUAGUUACAGUAUUUUUUUGGUGGUGAGGGAUGAGGAAAGAAUUCCCUGCUUGCUUUAUUAUUUCAUGACUGCCCUGGAGAUUAAUCCACCGGAAGGGAUAGCUAUAUGUCACAGUUACUUGGUGUCUUCCCACUGACUCCUUGAGAUCUACAGAUCUGCAAGCAAUAUCCUAAAAAUCAUUUCUUCCCUUUUCUUCUGGGAUGGGCAAUGUGUUAAAUGCUGCCUGCUGCUUUUUUGUCACACUCCUUUCUUUAUUUAAACACACAGUUUCCCGUAGAAAUCCUCAGCUUUUUGGUGCUCUAGUUUCCCAGCACUACAGAAAAGGCUUGCAUCCCCAGAGAGCGCAAACAUGGCCUUGGAGACAUGUCACUUCUCCCUUUUGGCUUCUACAUUGGAGCCUAAAUAUUCUGGUCCUGGACUGCACUACUGCUUUCCUGUUUGUUCUUCCACUGAAUCCAAGUACUGGCCCGUAAUAAACCUCCUGCUUACCCCAGGUAAAUGUUACGUCUAGCUGAAGUUUAGUGCUACGUGCACUGUGCAUCACAGCACACGAGUAUACCUAGGUUAUUGCAUAUGAACUAUGGGUCUGUCAUGCCACAGCUCAGCAUUAACCUGUGAGCCUUCUGAAGAAAGAAAACAACUGACUCUUACUGUUGCCUGCUUGGUAGUCUCCAAAGUCCAGAUCCUGUGAGUUACUGAAGAAAAGGAAAAGCUGCUUUUGACUUUAUGGUGCAGGACUGGAUCUCUGAAAGAAUCCAUGCCGAGACAGUGAUAGGUGAGGUACAUAGCACAAUUCUGUGCAAAUCCAAAGCCCAGACCUUGUCCUGAUUCUGAAAUAUCUCUCUCCUGACCCUUCCUUUUCCUUUUUGGCAAGUGGCUCGGGUCCCCUGCCAGCUGCUGAAGUCUGUCACUGUCCAGGAGCCUUGUCCUGCUUAGAACAGUGUUCAAGAGCCAAGGGAAUAGAAGAGAGAGCACAGAAGGAAUUUGGCCACUGCCACCACCAGUUACAGUUCUCCUUGUUUCCUAUGAGAGACAAAUGAUAAGUAGUGCAUAUGGUUUCAUACAGUUUCUUAUCUGAUAGUCUUCAAAGGCCAGAUACUGUAUGCACUGAAGUCAAUGGUACAGCUACAGCAAACCCAAUGCCCUUACUUUGCUAUGGCUGUAAGAUCCAGUUGCUAUUGCAUUUACCUCUCUGUCUGGCCAAUGCUGGUAGACUCAGCAUCUUGUCUGUCUGUCCACAUGGACUGCGCUACAGGCUCCUGAAAGAAAGUGCAAAUGGAUUCCUUAGAAGAGCCUCUAUAUCACAAAAAUGCCAUAGAAACCAAAGCUGAGUUAACGGAGACAAAUCCUGGGAGCUUGCAGAGGGCCUUUUCCCCAGCAUUAUGCAAUACAUAAUUACGUAAUUUAUAGUUAUGUAAUAUGCCUGGAUUUUUCUGAGAACCAGCCUUCUCACUCACUGCUCCCCUGGCAGACAAGUGUGUACCAUAAUUACGCCAUGCUACACUUCAUACAACAGCAGGGCUGUGGCUGUGGCUGUCACUCAGAGCCAUAGAACUGUUAGCUGCUGUGAUUUUUUAAAUUGUAUUGUGGGGAAAAGUUUCAUUAAAUAAAAAAGUUUUCAGUCAAAAAAUCUGUUCACUCCUCUGAUCGGCUGUGAUGUCUAAACAGACACGAUAGGUUGGGUUGUUGCUUUUUGAGGAAAAUGAAUGUCUUUUUGCAAAAUUUCUCCCAUCACCUCCAACAGUAUUUUUCGUGAACAUACUUCAAAUGAAAAAGUAUCCAUGAUUUCUACUAGUGUCUCUUUCUUGGGUACACCUUUUCCUGUGUUCAGCAGUUCUGACUGCAGAGAAGACAGGGCUAGAAAUCGGUGUAGAUACGUUCUGUUAACUGCCAAGGAAAUGUGAGGGACUGUUGGGCUCCGGUAUGCUCAUUUUACAGGCUGUGGCUAAAUUUCUCUCUUCACAAUAGUGAUACUCUAAGAAAAUUUGAAUGUUGCCAAAAAGACUUGGAAGUGAUCCCUCCCUGCUGCUGGUCUGAAAUUCCUACCAUGCCUCCCAGCUCCUCCUGGGUGGCUGGACCUCAUAUUAAUGACCAACAGACAGCUGGUGUUUCUAAAACCAUACCCCAGAUCCAGUCCUUGCUCUUUCACUGGCACUGUUUGUGGACUCGAGUAAGUCUCAUAACUUCUUUGAUCUCUCAUAAAUGGGGACAACAAGCAACAUUUCCAUUUGCAAAGAUGUUGUAUGUUCUAAAUUCAUUAAUACCUGUAGCAAUCUUUGCCAUCCAUUGAGGAAGAAGACAUGAGAGGUGAAGUAUUACAUGAUCAUUUCCACUGUGUUGCCUAAAAUGACUCUUCCCUUGCCCACUGUGCCCUUUGGGGGGCAGGAGGAGGGGUUGUCCUUUCCCAAAGGACAGUAGCUUUUAGUGACUUCUUAGGCUGAAACCAGUCCCAUGCAAUCCCUAGGAAAGCCUGGUCUGUGGCUUUGUUGCUUUUACAUGGGAUUUUCCUACGCUCUCAUCCCACUAUCUGAAUUCUCUCCCACCCCAUCAACCAGUGCUCAAUAGCUGGGGGAAAGGAGCAGCCUCCUCCACCUGCCAUCAACUCGAUGCAAAGCUGCAAAGAGGGAUUUAAAAAACAGCUCAGGGCCCUGCUGCCCGAACAUGUGGCCUUUUCAAGAAAAAUAAACUGUCUUUAUACAGCAAACUGAAAAUAAGUACAUUAAAGAAGUUCUACCAUCUGUCACUGAACUGUGACAAGAGUCCUGUGAUGCUCCUGGUACUUAGAUGUUGCAAUUCUACACUGUAUUGAGAUGCUCUCAUUCCUCUGUAAUUACUUUGAGGACAUUGAUCCUGGCUAAGUGUUGGCUACCAAUAAAACCUGCCUACUCAAA